rnacentral:rRNA from 1 species
UACGAAGGGGGCUAGCGUUGUUCGGAAUCACUGGGCGUAAAGGGCGCGUAGGCGGCUGUUCAAGUCGGGGGUGAAAUCCCGUGGCUCAACCACGGAAUGGCCUUCGAUACUGGAUGGCUGGAGACCGGAAGAGGUGAGUGGAACUGCGAGUGUAGAGGUGAAAUUCGUAGAUAUUCGCAAGAACACCAGUGGCGAAGGCGGCUCACUGGUCCGGUUUCUGACGCUGAGGCGCGAAAGCGUGGGGAGCAACAGG